UACAGAGGUGGCGAGCGUUGUUCGGAUUUACUGGGCGUAAAGGGUGCGUAGGCGGUCCUGUGUGUCGGAUGUGAAAGCCCAUGGCUUAACCAUGGAACGGCAUCCGAAACUGCAGGACUUGAGUGCAGGAGAGGAGAGUGGAAUUCUUGGUGUAGCGGUGAAAUGCGCAGAUAUCAAGAGGAACACCGGUGGCGAAGGCGGCUCUCUGGAAUGACACUGACGCUGAGGCACGAAAGCCGGGGUAGCAAAAAGG
rnacentral:rRNA from 1 species